rnacentral:rRNA from 1 species
AUGCACUUGAAAAAAAAUAAAAGUUGGGAACUUGUACACCUUCCUAAAGGAAAAGAACUUGUUAGUUGUAAAUGGAUAUUCACGGUGAAGCAAAAUUCAGAAGGGAAGAUCAAAAGGUACAAGGCAAGACUAGUUGCCAGAGGAUACAGCCAAACUUACGGGAUUGACUAUGACGAGACAUUCGCACCGGUGGCAAAGAUGAACACCGUGAGGAUUCUAAUCUUGUGUGCAACUAAUUUUGGGUGGCCUCUGUAUCAACUAGAUGUUAAGAAUGCUUUCUUGCAUGGUGACCUACAUGAAGAGGUGUAUAUGGAGAUUCCACCUGGUUUCUCUACUCCUAGAACUGCGGGAAAGGUGUGCAAAUUGAGGAAGUCCUUGUAUGGGCUCAAGCAGUCUCCACGAGCGUGGUUUGAUAGGUUUAGGCAUGUUGUAUGUGAUAUGGGGUACAAGCAAUGCAAUGGUGAUCACACUCUAUUCUAUCGACACUCGGACUGUAGAAUUACAAUUCUUGCAAUAUAUGUGGAUGAUAUUAUAAUCACAGGAGAUGAUGAUGUGGAGAUAUUGCGACUGAAGAAGAACCUGAGCAAGGAGUUUGAGGUGAAAGAUCUUGGCCAACUUAGAUACUUCCUCGGGAUUAAAAUUGCAAGGUCUCCAAAAGGCAUAGUUCUCUCUCAAAGAAAGUAUGUUCUGGACUUACUUAGUGAUACGGGUAUGCUUGGAUGUCGGGCUGCAUCAACUCCUAUUGAUCAAAACCACAAGCUUUGUGCACAGGCAGGAGAAUCAGUGGAUAAGGAGAACUACCAAAGGCUUGUUGGGCGACUCCUAUACUUAUGCCAUGCACGGCCUGAUAUUGCCUAUGCGGUGAGUGUGGUAAGCAGAUAUAUGCAUGAUCCUAGAAGUGAACAUCUAGAUGCAGUACACCAUAUAUUACGCUAUCUAAAAGGUAGUCCAGGGAAGGGGUUAUGGUUUAAGAAGAAUGGCCAUUUGAAUGUAGAUGGCUACAGUGAUGCCGAUUGGGCGAGUUGUCUUGAUGACAGAAGAUCUACUUCAGGGUAUUGUGUGUUUGUUGGAGGCAACCUUGUGUCAUGGAGAAGUAAGAAGCAAUCAAUUGUAUCUAGAUCGACAGCCGAAGCAGAGUACAGGGCCAUGUCACUAGGCCUUAGUGAAAUGUUGUGGGUAAGAAAUCUUCUAUCAGAACUAAAAGUGCUGAGAAAGGGCCCUUUGAAGGUGUGGUGCGAUAAUAAAUCGGCUAUUAGCAUAGCCAACAACCCAGUCCAACAUGAUAGAACAAAGCAUGUGGAGAUUGAUCGCUUCUUUAUUAAAGGGAAACUCGAUGAGGGUAUAAUAGAAUUAAAGCAUGUAAGCUCAGAGAAUCAAGUGGCAGAUAGCCUAACUAAGGGUUUAGGAGCAAAGGAGUGUAAUUUGGCAUGUAACAAGAUGGGAAUGAUAGAUAUCUAUCAUCCAUCUUGA